rnacentral:rRNA from 1 species
CUUAAAGGAAUUGGCGGGGGAGCACCACAAGGGGUGAAGCCUGCGGUUCAAUUGGAGUCAACGCCGGGAAUCUUACCGGGGGCGACAGCAGAGUGAAGGUCAAGCUGAAGACUUUACCAGACAAGCUGAGAGGAGGUGCAUGGCCGUCGCCAGCUCGUGCCGUGAGGUGUCCUGUUAAGUCAGGUAACGAGCAAGAUCCCUGCCACUAGUUGCUACCACCGUUCUCAGGAACGGAGGGGCUAAUUAGUGGGACCGCCGCUGUUAAAGCGGAGGAAGGAGGGGGCUACGGCAGGUCAGUAUGCCCCGAAACCCUCGGGCCACACGCGGGCUGCAAUGGUAAGGACAACGGGUUCCGAUCCCGAAAGGGGGAGGCAAUCCCACAAACCUUACCUCAGUUAUGAUUGAGGGCUGAAACUCGCCCUCAUGAAUAUGGAAUCCCUAGUAACCGCGUGUCACCAUCGCGCGGUGAAUACGUCCCUGCUCCUUGCACACACCGCCCGUCGCUUCACCGAAGCUGGUUCUUGGCGAGGUGGCGCCUAAUUGGCGCUAUCGAACCUGGGGUCAGCAACGGGGGAGAAGUCGUAACAAGGUAGUCGUAGGGGAACCUGCGGCUGGAUCACCUCCUUAG